rnacentral:rRNA from 1 species
UACCAGCUCUCCGAGUGGUGUGGAUGUUUAUUGGGCCUAAAGCAUCCGUAGCUGGCUGGGCAAGUCCCCUGUUAAAUCCACCGAUUUAAUCGUUGGUGUGCGGGGGAUACUGUUCGGCUAGGGGACGGGAGAGGCCGACGGUAUUUUCGGGGUAGGGGUGAAAUCCUAUAAUCCCGGGAAGACCACCAGUGGCGAAGGCUGUCGGCUAGAACGCGCCCGACGGUGAGGGAUGAAAGCUGGGGGAGCGAACCGGAUUAGAUACCCGGGUAGUCCCAGCUGUAAACGAUGCAGGCUAGGUGUUUGGGCGGCCACGUGCCGCUCUAGUGCCGCAGAGAAGUCGUUAAGCCUGCCGCCUGGGGAGUACGGCCGCAAGGCUGAAACUUAAAGGAAUUGGCGGGGGAGCACCACAAGGGGUGAAGCUAGCGGUUU